GAUGAACGCUGGCGGCGUGCCUAAUACAUGCCAGUCGAGCGAACAGACGAGGAGCUUGCUCCUCUGACGUUAGCGGCGGACGGGUGAGUAACACGUGGAUAACCUACCUAUAAGACUGGGAUAACUUCGGGAAACCGGAGCUAAUACCGGAUAAUAUAUUGAACCGCAUGGUUCAAUAGUGAAAGACGGUUUUGCUGUCACUUAUAGAUGGAUCCGCGCCGCAUUAGCUAGUUGGUAAGGUAACGGCUUACCAAGGCAACGAUGCGUAGACGACCUGAGAGGGUGGUCGGCCACACUGGAACUGAGACACGGUCCAGACUCCUACGGGAGGCAGCAGUAGGGAAUCUUCCGCAAUGGGCGAAAGCCUGACGGAGCAACGCCGCGUGAGUGAUGAAGGUCUUCGGAUCGGAAAACUCUGUUAUUAGGGAAGAACAAAUGUGUAAGUAACUAUGCACGUCUUGACGGUACCUAAUCAGAAAGCCACGGCUAACUACGUG
rnacentral:rRNA from 1 species